GCGACCCCAGGUCAGGCGGGACUACCCGCUGAGUUUAAGCAUAUCAUA
rnacentral:rRNA from 4 species